rnacentral:rRNA from 1 species
GGGACCGCAAGCCUUGCGCUCUUUGAGCGGCCGAUGUCAGAUUAGCUAGUUGGUGAGGUAACGGCUUACCAAGGCGACGAUCUGUAGCGGGUCUGAGAGGAUGAUCCGCCACACUGGAACUGAGACACGGUCCAGACUCCUACGGGAGGCAGCAGUGGGGAAUUUUGGACAAUGGGGGCAACCCUGAUCCAGCCAUGCCGCGUGAGUGAAGAAGGCCUUCGGGUUGUAAAGCUCUUUCGGCCGGGAAGAAAUCGCAUGGGUGAAUACCCUGUGUGGAUGACGGUACCGGAACAAGAAGCACCGGCUAACUACGUGCCAGCAGCCGCGGUAAUACGUAGGGUGCGAGCGUUAAUCGGAAUUACUGGGCGUAAAGCGUGCGCAGGCGGUUUGGUAAGACAGGCGUGAAAUCCCCGGGCUUAACCUGGGAACUGCGCUUGUGACUGCCAGGCUAGAGUACGGCAGAGGGGGGUGGAAUUCCACGUGUAGCAGUGAAAUGCGUAGAGAUGUGGAGGAACACCAAUGGCGAAGGCAGCCCCCUGGGUCGAUACUGACGCUCAUGCACGAAAGCGUGGGUAGCAAACAGGAUUAGAUACCCUGGUAGUCCACGCCCUAAACUAUGUCAACUAGGUGUUGGGUGGGUAAAACCAUUUAGUACCGUAGCUAACGCGUGAAGUUGACCGCCUGGGGAGUACGGCCGCAAGGUUAAAACUCAAAGGAAUUGACGGGGACCCGCACAAGCGKKRGAUGAUGUGGAUUAAUUCGAUGCAACGCGAAAAACCUUACCUACCCUUGACAUGCCAGGAACUUGCCAGAGAUGGCUUGGUGCCCGAAAGGGAGCCUGGACACAGGUGCUGCAUGGCUGUCGUCAGCUCGUGUCGUGAGAUGUUGGGUUAAGUCCCGCAACGAGCGCAACCCUUGUCGUUAAUUGCCAUCAUUUGGUUGGGCACUUUAACGAGACUGCCGGUGACAAACCGGAGRAAGGUGGGGAUGACGUCAAGUCCUCAUGGCCCUUAUGGGKAGGGCUUCACACGUCAUACAAUGGUCGGUACAGAGGGUUGCCCAGCCUCGAGGCGGAGCCAAUCCCAGAA